rnacentral:rRNA from 1 species
UUUUUAUGAGAGUUUGAUCCUGGCUCAGGACGAACGCUGGCGGCGUGCCUAAUACAUGCAAGCCGAACGCUUCUUUUUCCACC